rnacentral:rRNA from 1 species
UACGAAGGGGGCUAGCGUUGCUCGGAAUCACUGGGCGUAAAGCGCACGUAGGCGGCCUCUUAAGUCGGUGGUGAAAUCCUGGAGCUCAACUCCAGAACUGCCUUCGAUACUGAGAGUCUCGAGUCCGAGAGAGGUGAGUGGAACUGCGAGUGUAGAGGUGAAAUUCGUAGAUAUUCGCAAGAACACCAGUGGCGAAGGCGGCUCACUGGCUCGGUACUGACGCUGAGGUGCGAAAGCGUGGGGAGCAAACAGG